rnacentral:rRNA from 1 species
AUUGAACGCUGGCGGCAGGCCUAACACAUGCAAGUCGAGCGGAUCGGCGGACGGGUGAGUAAUGCCUAGGAAUCUGCCUGGUAGUGGGGGAUGACGUCCAGAACCGGACGCUGAUACCGCAUCCUCUCACAUGAGCCUAGGUCGGAUUAGCAAGUGGGUGGGGUAAAGGCCUACCAAGGCGACGAUCCGUAGCUGGUCUGAGAGGAUGAUCAGUCACACUGGAACUGAGACACGGUCCAGACUCCUACGGGAGGCAGCAGUGGGGAAUAUUGGACAAUGGGCGCAAGCCUGAUGCAGCCAUGCCGCGUGUGUGAAGAAGGUCUUCGGAUUGUAAAGCACUUUAAGUUGGGAGGCGUUACCAACAGAAUAAGCACCGGCUAACUUCGUGCCAGCAGCCGCGGUAAUUC